GGAUUUUGCAGAAAUGAGCAAGAAAGGAAACCAUACAUGAAUUUGAAACAUAACAAAUGCUGUUUCUUGUACAUAUCUAGAUUACUAUUCCUGGCAUACUAACAUCACUUCCUUUCCUUUGAGCAAAGCACUGGAGAUGCACCACAACAUUUCAUUGACAAAUGAAAUGAACUAUACAUGCAGAAAAGAGAGAGAAGAAAAAAGAGAGGAAAAGAAGGGGGA
rnacentral:lncRNA from 1 species